AAUAGUUAUUGAGGGGUGGAUUGAUUCAGACAGAGCAAUACUGAAGGCCUAGGUGUGAAAUGUACAGCCCGCCACUGGGUUCUGUACCUGUUGUUAUCUGGUUCUGUGGUUCUGUACCUGUUGUUAUCUGGUUCUGUACCUGUUGUUAUCUGGUUCUGAGGUUCUGUACCUGUUGUUAUCUGGUUCUGUACCUGUUGUUAUCUGGUUCUGAGGUUCUGUACCUGUGGUUACUGGUUCUGUACCUGUUGUUAUCUGGUUCUGUACCUG